AGAGUUUGAUCCUGGCUCAGAUUGAACGCUGGCGGCAUGCUUUACACAUGCAAGUCGAACGGUAACGCGGGGGCAACCCUGGCGACGAGUGGCGAACGGGUGAGUAAUACAUCGGAACGUGCCCAGUAGUGGGGGAUAGCUCGGCGAAAGCCGGAUUAAUACCGCAUACGACCUACGGGUGAAAGCGGGGGAUCGCAAGACCUCGCGCUAUUGGAGCGGCCGAUGGCAGAUUAGCUUGUUGGUGAGGUAAAAGCUCACCAAGGCGACGAUCUGUAGCUGGUCUGAGAGGACGACCAGCCACACUGGGACUGAGACACGGCCCAGACUCCUACGGGAGGCAGCAGUGGGGAAUUUUGGACAAUGGGCGCAAGCCUGAUCCAGCAAUGCCGCGUGUGUGAUGAAGGCCUUCGGGUUGUAAAGCACUUUUAGUGGGAACGAAACGGUCCGGGCUAAUACCCUGGACUACUGACGGUACCCGCAGAAUAAGCACCGGCUAACUACGUGCCAGCAGCCGCGGUAAUACGUAGGGUGCAAGCGUUAAUCGGAAUUACUGGGCGUAAAGCGUGCGCAGGCGGUUUUGUAAGACCGAUGUGAAAUCCCCGGGCUUAACCUGGGAACUGCAUUGGUGACUGCAAGGCUUGAGUGUGUCAGAGGGAGGUGGAAUUCCGCGUAGCAGUGAAAUGCGUAGAUAUGCGGAGGAACACCGAUGGCGAAGGCAGCCUCCUGGGAUAACACUGACGCUCAUGCACGAAAGCGUGGGGAGCAAACAGGAUUAGAUACCCUAGUAGUCC
rnacentral:rRNA from 1 species